GCGGGCGUGGCGAAAUAGGUAGACGCAACGGACUUAAAAUCCGUAGGGCCGCAAGGCCUGUGGGGGUUCAAGUCCCCCCGCCCGCACCA
rnacentral:tRNA from 1 species